GCCGGCGCAUCACAGGGGGGUAGGAUGAUGUGGAUGUGACUGGUUAUAUAAAAGUAUAGGGCACUGUUGGAAUGAGCCAGAUGGUAUGAUAGCAGUCAUCGUAAACAGAACCGUCCGUAUUGUCCGCGUGUGGACAUGCUUCGCCUCUGCAUGACCUCGUGAACUUUCCUGACGCGUGACCUCGAAAAAUCCCUGCCACGGCUCCCCCGAGCACCCCUCCACAUCCCCGGGCUUCUCUGCACAGGCUGCUACCCAGGCAGGAAGUGACAUCAACGGGUCCAAACUAAAAAUAUGUCGCAGGACGGACUGUCUCGGAUGUCCAGGACCCGGUGUUUGUAAAGGAGGAUGCCUCGCACCGGCUCCACAAAGUGAUGCUCACUGAAGGAUGCAGGAGAGCGCCACACAGGCGAGACAGACAGACGCACGGGAGGCUGAGCUCUCUAUCAUUGCGUUCUGCUUAAAGGGGUGCUGUCUGCUAUCCAGCUACAGCUGAGAUACCGUUGACUCCUAAAUGGCCUUCCUAGCUUGGCUGGGGCUGAAUGACACCUGCACUCUUAAAUGGCAUUAAAUCAGCUGUCUGUACAACUGCUCCUGGCUAUCUUCACCCACUAUGGCUCCUUCAUGAUGGCCCCCUAAUCUCUGCCAGUGUGGUUCCAUCGUAAUAUGCAUUGCAAGGCGGCUGCGUAAUCAAGCCUGUGAACUCGACAUCUGAAGGAAGGAUUCUGUUUCUGAUCACAUCCCUAUUGAAGUCCAUCCAUUCGCUGAACAUGGAUGUGUUCACAUGCUCAUGCUUGCACUCGCUGAACAUACCAUGGAGGGGCCACAAAUAAUGCCUGAGGAGCCGAAGAAAGAACAACAGAGAUAUCACCACCUCUCCUGCUUAUUACCUCACAGCUCUACUAUCAUUUGGCUCCAGUCACACUACUACCAGUCUGCAAAAGAGCAUAGCUUCAUUUUCGUCUGUGAAAGAGGAUGUUUCAAUGUGGAGGUGUUUCCGAAGAGUGUGUCUUAUUUGAGUGGUAAAAAGCCACCUACACUCGCGUACGUACAAUUCUUCAUAAUAACAGAGUAAAUCACCAAAGCAGCAGCUACAAUUAAGUUUUGCAUUUCAUGUUUAACCUGACUUAAAACGUAAGGACUCUGAAACGCGCUAAAGUCAAGUGUUGACGUGACAUAAAUCUGACAAAAGUUUCUCAUUAAACUGUUGGAAGCAAAAAAAUGCAUCUUAACAUUUAUAGAAAUUGACAUCAGCGUUUCUUUAAAUGUGCAUUUAACAUAGGAUCUGUUGCACUGCAGGCUCCGCGUUAACAUCAACCCUCGGGGGAUUCAGUACGAUGUGUAUCAAUGCAGUUUUCUGCAUUUCGGGAGUUUUCUGGAAUGUAGGCUACACCUGCACAGACAUAAGAGUACUACAGUUUUUCACGUAUCACUGAGGUCUGCGCUAUUUUUAACCUCUGAACAUUUUUUUUUCACCUCUAGUGCAAUGCAUUUGGGUUGUUUUUUUCCAUUUCAGAAGGUUUCCAAUGGAAACUCAGAGUAUAUACAGAAUGUUUAAAGCUCGCAUGCCUAUUUAGAGUGAUGCAAAGACAUGUUACACCAUCUCAAUCUGUCAGCCUAUAUGCUAUGUACACUUGGAAGAAGUCAGUGUCUGUUUGCGCCAUAUAGAAUUAUCACCUCUUAACUAUAUGACAUUUCUGGAGAGAAACAACAAUCAUGGCACAGACGGCGUGGGGGUGGGGUGGCAUUUGCCAGUGCUCUCAUUGGGGUUCAAAAGUAGAAUGUAAAAUGUCUGUCUUUGUCUGAUCCAACACAUUUUAUUUUUGUAACUGGGAAAUCUGUUCAGGGACCCCAACAUUUUUUCCAACUGUCAGAGUGUCAUUUGUCAGAAAAAAUAAACUGAAACUGAUAUCCCACCCCCAGUCCUUCUGUAUGUUGUGAGGUUAUAGCUGUUUCAAACACGCAAGGUGGGGGUGUGUGUGGCGUGCACACGUAAACACAGCAACCUGCCACCUCAAACACACAUGUCCUGGUCAUCCUGCGGUGCAGAGAGCCCAUCUCCUGGCUGCCUCUUUGACACUGUUGUGCCCUGUGGCUUCAUCUUGACUUUCAAGAAGCCGAAACCAUUUGACUACAGAGCAUUGUCCCUCAUGAUUGAGAUGUUAACCUUCAGGGCAACCCCUUGCUCUUUAGCGACUCAUUUUUCCUCCCUCUCUUCCCCGUUCUCCUCCUCCUGCUUCUUCUUCUUCUUCUUCCUUUUCACCCUGGUUUCUCUUCGCCAGCAGCCUGCACAGUGAGGCCGCCAAGCCAUUAGUGAGUCCCAGCCCUGAUAAUGAAGCCACAGAGGUGGUCUGAGUUAGUGUGGCACAGGAGCUGGAGCACAGAGGGAAGGUAGAUUAGGAUAAUUACCUGGCCAUGGGGGCUCAAUGGAGAAAAAAAAUGCCUCACUUCCUGCAGGCUUUGAUUGGUGAAGGAGCACGGUACAAUCAGGUGCGACCCCUGUGCGCUCAAAAAGGAGAGAAUAAAGACAAAUUACUUCCAAUCAUCUUUGAUAAUCAAAACGUGAAAUGGUACAUGUUGGAUUUAACAGUAACUUCUCAUUCUUUGUUUUUGCAGGUGUUCUCCGCAUCCCUUACAUGCAUGUGUGUGUCGUUUGUUGUUUAUGUUGUUGUGCUUUGGGUCUCUCACACAUACUGUAAGGACGUCCUAAAUAUCCACGCUCGCAGACACUUUGAAGAGCAUAUGAGGUCAGGUUUUAAAUUAUGGUCUGAUCCCACACCAGGCUUUCUCUCCCCACUCCUGUAAAUCCAUUUUCCACACAAUGCAUUUCAAAUCAAAGCCGCGUCACCAUAACAUGCCUUAGGAAACAUUAAGCCAUAGUGCGUUACUUUCAUGUAUGAUAGCAUAGCCCCUGUAUGCUUUGAUGUGCUCACUUUUUUAAUGCUUUAUUAAUAAUAACACAUUGGCUCCUUCUCACACCACCAUCAGCUUCUGGUGCUCCCUUUCUCUCCUCCUGAGCUACAUCCCUCACUCUUUCCAGUGCUGCUUCAUCCCUCCCCAGCCCCUGAGUCUUGUCUCAGGAUUGGCCUGUUUGUGUUUGGGAGGGGGAUUAGAGGGAAUGACAUGGGCCUCAAGAUGAAGAGAGUGACAAAGACCUAUCAGAGGGCAGAGAGUACAGAGCGCUGCAGCAUCAUUGGUUGCUGAGGAAAUCAGACACGUCUUCAUUUCUUCCAGCCAUCCUUCUCCCAGUGCCCAGCUUUCAUUUCCUUGCCCGGGGAGGGAAGCAUGGAGAGGGUGGGGGAUCAGGAUUUGAGUUUCUGUUUGUGAGUUUAAUUGUGUGUGCACAUGUGUGUUUGCUUACAUGUUGUGAGCAGUAAACACAGAAAUACAGAGGGAUGAGCAUGUAGACACUGAUAGCACUCACCUCCUCCAAAGCUGGCCAAAAUACAAAGCAGCCUGCGCAUUUCUGGAGCUGCCCUAGAUGAACACUGUGAAUGGGAAGCCUGAUUCAUAGACGUGCAGAUCUACCUACUGAUUCCUGAAUUGUUACAGCAUUAUCACUGGAUGUUUUUGCGUUAGCGUUAACUGGCAAAACUAUCCCAAAACAUACAAUGGCUGUUCAGUAUUUGCUGAUAUUUUCUUUCUGACAAAUUCAGUGUAAUGUUGGCAAUUUACCAGAUCACUUAGCAGCUCGCCACAAUCACGUGUGCACGCUUGCACACAAACAUCUGCUGAUUUAAUUUUCUGCUUUUGUGCUUUCUUUUUGUUCGUGUCCCUUUUUUGAUGAUUCCUCGCUCUUUCUGUUAUGUGGUAUUAUUGAAUCUUGUUUUUCUUGUUGAUUUAUCAUUUCAGCCCACAACUUCUGCACCACAGUUUCUCAAGUCACUCAACUGCAAUCUGUGGUUGUAUUCUGUAAGAAAAUAAAUAUAUUAAUAUACGGAACAAGCUCA